CAGCACCUCAAGUGGUCAGGAUGAUUAUUGGGCCUAAAGCAUCCGUAGCCGGCGCUGUAAGUUUUCGGUUAAAUCUGUACGCUCAACGUACAGGCUGCCGGGAAUACUGCAGCGCUAGGGAGUGGGAGAGGUAGACGGUACUCGGUAGGAAGGGGUAAAAUCCUUUGAUCUAUUGAUGACCACCUGUGGCGAAGGCGGUCUACCAGAACACGUCCGACGGUGAGGGAUGAAAGCUGGGGGAGCAAACCGGAUUGGAGACCCCAGUAGUCC
rnacentral:rRNA from 1 species